UCACACCAUGAGAGUUGGAAAUACCCGAAGCCUGUGAGCUAACUUAAAGAGGCAGCAGUCGAAGGUAGAGCCAAUGAUUGGGGUGAAGUCGUAACAAGGUACC
rnacentral:rRNA from 1 species